rnacentral:hammerhead_ribozyme from 1 species
GAUGACGAGUCCCAAGUAGGACGAAACGCGCGUCC